UGGGGAAUAUUGCACAAUGGGCGCAAGCCUGAUGCAGCCAUGCCGCGUGUAUGAAGAAGGCCUUCGGGUUGUAAAGUACUUUCAGUCGGGAGGAAGGUGGUAAGGUUAAUAACCUUAUCAAUUGACGUUACCGACAGAAGAAGCACCGGCUAACUCCGUGACAGCAGCCGCGGUAAUACGGAGGGUGCAAGCGCUAAUCGGAAUUACUGGGCGGAAAGCGAACGCAGGCGGUUGAUUGAGUCAGAUGUGAAAUCCCCGGGCUUAACCCGGGAAUUGCAUCUGAUACUGGUCAGCUAGAGUCUUGUAGAGGGGGGUAGAAUUCCAUGUGUAGCGGUGAAAUGCGUAGAGAUGUGGCGGAAUACCGGUGGCGAAGGCGGCCCCCUGGACAAAGACUGACGCUCAGGUGCGAAAGCGUGGGGAGCAAACAGG
rnacentral:rRNA from 1 species